rnacentral:rRNA from 1 species
UACGUAGGGUGCGAGCGUUGUCCGGAAUUAUUGGGCGUAAAGAGCUCGUAGGCGGUGUGUCACGUCGGCCGUGAAAACCUGCAGCUUAACUGUGGGCGUGCGGUCGAUACGGGCAUCACUGGAGUUCGGCAGGGGAGACUGGAAUUCCUGGUGUAGCGGUGGAAUGCGCAGAUAUCAGGAGGAACACCAAUAGCGAAGGCAGCUCGCUGGGACGGUAUUGACGCUAAGGCGCGAAAGCGUGGGGAGCAAACAGG